UGCUAAAAACUUUGUCUUCCCUAACUAUCUAUUUUUCUUAUUUCGGUUAACACAAGUCUUUGUUUGUUAAGAGAGAGGACUCUUGUUAAGACUUGUGUAAGUUUAUGUGUUCAAACUUAUGUUAUGCUAAGCACUCUUAUGUUUAUCAAUUGGUACUCUAUGUUUAGACUUUCAUCAUCAACCAUUAUUCUAAAAAACUAAUUUCCUACACAUUCCAAUGAUGUGUACUCUCUUAAACUAAUUUACUAGACUUUAUCAAUUGGUAAUCUCCUAGACUCUCACUCGACCUACACAAUAAAGUAAAAGCAUCCACAACAAAGAUUUCAUAACAUAGUUAAAAGUUCUAAAUCCACAUCACAA
rnacentral:lncRNA from 1 species